UCUCUACACAUUUUUACAAUAAAGAAGAGACUAUCAAAUUAAAUAAUAACUAUAAAAAAAAAUAAUAUACUCAGAGAAAUCUCAUGGGAAAUGUUUCAAAUAAUAAAUGCAUGACAAAAGUCAAAGAAUAACACAUAUACACAAGUUAUCACAGAAUGAUCAGUAGAACUAUCUGUUCAUAAUAUAUAUCUCAUUGCUAUUAAAAUUAAUUAUAAUAUAUAUAUAUAUAUAUAUAUAUAUAUACACACACACAUUCACACACACUAAAAGUAUCUUUUUCAAGUAUAUAACAUUGUAGGUUGAAAUUUCUUUUCUUCUUUGUGUGUUUAUUUCUUUAUUUCUUGAAUCUCUUUAGUAAAAUUAUGGCGCUAUCACUGUUUAUAGGCAUAAAAAUUAGUAUUCCCCAUAGAAGCAACUUCUUAGUUUGAUAGGCCAAAUAUAUAGAAAGAUAUUAAAUCGCAACUUCUAUAUCUAAAGUUAACUAUAUAAAUAGUAAAUGAGAGAACAAUAAGAGAACACCAGAAAUUUAUGAGGUUUGACAAAAUUUUAUUUUCUACUUCAAUGAUACUACCAAUUGAAUUUUAUUUCACUCCAAAAAAUACAAGUGCAAUACUAUAAGAGAGAAAAGAGAGAUGCAAUGGUCUUAGAGGUGAGAAGGCAAG
rnacentral:lncRNA from 1 species